UGCCAGCAGCCGCGGUAAUACGGAGGGUGUAAACGUUGCUCGGAAUCAUUGGGCGUAAAGCGCACGUAGGCGGUUUGGUAAGUUGGAUGUGAAAGCCCGGGGCUCAACCCCGGAAGUGCACCCAAAACUGCCAGACUAGAAUCUCGGAGGGGGUCGGAGAAUUCCCGGUGUAGAGGUGAAAUUCGUAGAUAUCGGAAGGAACACCGGUGGCGAAGGCGACUUCCUGGGCCAAUACUGACGCUGAGGCGCGAAAGCGUGGGUAGCAAACAGGAUUAGAUA
rnacentral:rRNA from 1 species